UCUGUCAGCCUCGGCCAGAGUCUAAGGUGACACAUGAACAGAAGAUAAUCCUGAGGACCUCAUCCCGGAUAUAAUCUUCAACUCCAAUCUCCAUUUGAACCCCGCUCUCCAGAAAAUGUCUCAACAUUUCUUUUUCUCCAAUUGAACCCCGUUCUCCAGAAAAUGCCUCAACACUUCCUUUUCUCCGAUUGAACUGUAUUUUCGCGUUGAUCGCGUAACGUCCUUUGAU
rnacentral:lncRNA from 1 species